AGUGAACGCUGGCGGUAGGCCUAACACAUGCAAGUCGAACGGCAGCACAGUAAGAGCUUGCUCUUACGGGUGGCGAGUGGCGGACGGGUGAGGAAUACAUCGGAAUCUACUUUUUCGUGGGGGAUAACGUAGGGAAACUUACGCUAAUACCGCAUACGACCUACGGGUGAAAGCAGGGGAUCUUCGGACCUUGCGCGAUUGAAUGAGCCGAUGUCGGUUUAGCUAGUUGGCGGGGUAAAGGCCCACCAAGGCGACGAUCCGUAGCUGGUCUGAGAGGAUGAUCAGCCACAUUGGAACUGGGAACCGGUCCAGACUCCUACGGGAGGCAGCAGUGGGGAAUAUUGGACAAUGGGCGCAAGCCUGACCCAGCCAUACCGCGUGGGUGAAGAAGGCCUUCGGGUUGUAAAGCCCUUUUGUUGGGAAAGAAAAUCAGCAGGUUAAAACCCCGCUGUUGUGACGGUACCCAAAGAAUAAGCACCGGCUAACUUCGUG
rnacentral:rRNA from 1 species